rnacentral:misc_RNA from 1 species
GAUGAAGAACGCAGCGAAAUGCGAUAAGUAAUGCGAAUUGCAGAAUUUCCGUGAGUCAUCGAAUCUUUGAACGCACAUUGCGCCCACUGGUAUUCCGGUGGGCAUGCCUGUUCGAGCGUCAUUAUCCUCCCUCAAACCCCGGGUUUGGUGUUGGACCCAAGUUGUGUGAACAACUGGUCUCAAAGACAAUGACGGCGUCCGUGGGACCCUCGGUGCAACGAGCUUUUAGGAGCACGCAUCGAGUUGCAAGGACCUUCCGGGCCGGUCUCCUUUUACUAUUUUACAAGGUUGACCUCGGAUCAGGUAGGAAUACCCGCUGAACUUAAGCAUAUCAAUAAGCGGAGGA